GAGAUAUUUGUCCUUGGGGGUUGGAUUUUUUUAAUUAUUUAUUUGCUUUUAUUUCUUAAUCACCGCAGCUAACAAAAACAUGACUUGAGACUGCUCCAUAACCAUCAAAUCUGAACAGGGGCCCCUCAGCGCCAGUACAACCAAGCACAACAAAUCCUGGCAAGCUGUAGCAAGCGACAGCAAGAGGGAGGGGAGGCGGUGGGACACGGGCAGCGGUCCGCAAAGGCUCCCGGCUGUUGCCCGGGGCUCCGGGGCCGGAAGAAUGUACCAAUACUGGGAAGCAGCAGAUAGAAGAGGCGAAGGAGAGCUGGCGGCCAGCGACUACCCCAGGACGGAAGAGGCACGGGAGCGUCCCGGGAGCCCCUAAGCUGCCUGCCCGCCUACUGCACCCCUUUCACGCCAUGCCGCCAUCCCCAACGUUCCGACCCCGGACCUCCCGGGUCCGGCCCUGGAAGAGUCCAAUACAACGCGUGCGUUGGACAGUGAGACGUGGCACCGCAGGGUUGCAAGUGGGGCGCGUAGGCAUACCCCAGGUUAAGCUGACUGGUCUCCAUAAUAUCUAUGAAUUAGGAAAAGCUAGCCUGAAACUGUUACUUGCAAAAUGAAGAGGAAGAUAGAAGUGAGAAUGAAGAAUGCUUUGGAGAAAUCUAGUCAUAAUGUUUGAGGAGUAGAAAUAAUAGAAAAUACUAAUAACUCUGGUCUCUUACAUAGGUCAGAAUUUAGACUGAAAUGAUGUAAAGUCACAAACCUGAGACAUAAGGGCUAUUAAAUUUGAAUCAAGAUUCACAGAUUUUUGAACAAAUACAUAAUAAAAAUGUUUGCUUUGUCUCCUCUGCUUUUUAU
rnacentral:lncRNA from 1 species